rnacentral:ncRNA from 1 species
UCACUGGUUCCCGCGUUAGAGUUUGACGGGAUAAAUCCAGUACCGGACAUGACGAAAAGG